GAAAUCUGAAAUUCAGGGCAGGAGUAAAGCGGUUCUUUCAUUCCUGCAGCAGCUCUCUCAGUGCGAUGCGUUCACCAUGAACCCUGUGCCUCCAGACAUUCAGGGCCCAGGGCUGGGGCCUGGGUGGCUCUUGGCCUGGCGGCCUUGGCAGGAUCUCAUUAGUGGUGCUGUCUUCUGAACUUUCUCUUCAGCGUGGCGCCUCUGGAACCUUUCUGCCCUUGCUCUUUGACUCUCACAAGAGUGUCCUGUGAAGUUUUAACAAACCUCAGAGGGGCAUGUGAUCAGGCCUGGAACAAGAUCAAGGAUUCCAGGUACAGAAGCAAGAAAAGUGAACGCCUUAGCGAGACAGAGCCACGGGUGAAGGGAGCCGUUGUUUGGGUCUGCAGAGGCCCAGAGUCCCCAUGGCAAAGGCCACUGGGCCAGUAGCUUUGUCGGGUGCUGCUGCCUGGGGCUGUCGUUUUCCCUCAGACCGGCAAGCAAAGAGACCACAAGGCGUGAACUGAAACUCCAGAACUGUGAGCUAACACAAGCCUGUCCUCCACGGGAGCUGACUGUGUCCCGUGAUUUGUUACAGUUGUAAAAAAUCCUUAAAUUGAGCUGUAUGUACACAGGACUCUGAGAAUAACGGUGCUAGACUGACUGUGUUAUUCCAGUGGCACAGUUGUAAAGGCUGAAAAAUUCAAUUCCCCACUGACUGCACCGCAAGAGCUGAAUCUGAUGGGUUGGAUGCAAUAACAGCUUUGGCGAGGAAAAUCCUAGAACUCCUCUCACAUGGCAUUCAGGAAAAUCCUAGAACUCCUCUCACGUGGCAUUCAGGAAAAUCCUAGAACUCCUCUCACGUGGCAUUCCAAAACAUUUGCCCAGCAAAGAUGACUUCUGGUAACUCUUCAGCAAACAAACUCAGCACACACAAAUAAUAUCAGGUAAUUGGAUCAGAAUAUUGGUCUUGGAAUCUACAUUAAUAAUUUCAGGCUGAACGCAGGUCAAUUCUAAUUAGCUAACACACCGAUGCUAUUAUUGCAGUACCCUGUCUUGCCCUAGGUUUCAAAGAACAGGCAUCACAUGGUAGAUAAGUACUAAACAAACACAAUCUGUCUAUUCUGUUUAAUGAUUAGACUAGAAAUUAAAACUGAUUCUGCUUAUGUUAAAAACCUGUGUCACCAUGUUCUCAUGCUGCAUGUUAACAUAGAAAUGAUAUUUUCUUUAGUUUGUUGUAAAUUUGUAAUAGUGUGGUUGUUAUUGGAGAAAUGUUAAGACACUAGCAUAAAUGAGAGGAUUUUAUUACGCAUAUGAUAAUUGGAAAAAUGUGGAACCAUAAAAUAUUUCAAAAAAGGAGAAAAAUAGGAGGAAAUAAUAUUUUCCUCAUCACAGUACUCUGGUCGUCCACUGUUACGGUAUAACAAAACUGCCCCAAAUGUAGUGGCUUAAAAUAACACAACAGAAAUAUAUAAAAUUCAAAAAUUAUCCAUGAGUAGGUUUAUAUGUUUGAGUUUAUGGCUCACAAAUCUAUAACUGGGCCACCGUUCAGUGGGGAGGGUUGGUUUGCUUCAUGUGGUGUCCAAAGAGAUAGCUUCACGGGGCAGGAGGGCCACUCCGAGACGGCUUGUGCCCCCCCGGCAGCAGCUGGUGCUGGCUUCGGACUGUGCUGGUGGUUGCAGCCUCGGUUCCGCUCCCUGUUGGCCCUUGGAUGGACCACUUGCUCUUCCUCCUAGCAUGGCGGCUGGGUUCCCAAAGCAAGCUUCCCUGGAGGGAGGAGAUGACUAGAGCCCUGUGACAUAGAGAGGGGACACUCUUCGCGUGUAACCGGAAGCACUAUCAAGGCACUUGGGCUGUGUCCCACAGUCACCCAGCCCCCUCAGCCGCAUCUGUUUACAUCGCUCACACAUCCAGAGAAUAUUCACCACUGUGAAGACUUCUAAGUGUCUCCUCACAUGACUUCAUUAGACUGAGUCUCAAGGCCGGAGGCUUAUCACUGAAACCAGUUUCAGGGGUAAGAGGAGCUUCCUCAGAUAUGGGCCCUAAGGUCCGCUUCUCAGUACAGCGCUUCUCCGUCUGCAGAUUGACGAAUUGAGACACGUCAUCUGCCCAGUGCACUCCUUAAACGGCGGUGGGAUAGCAGCAGCGCCUUCUACAAACCACCCUGCUGAGAGAGACACGCCCUCGCUGUGCUGCAGUGGUGCUGAGACCCAGUUCCGUGACUGGAGCCUGCUUAUCAUGUGUCCCCUCAUUCUGCCAUCUGGGCUUUUCUCAUCGUUCUCUGGAUCAUCCUUUCGUUUUCCUCAAAGCUUGUAACUAUGAGGUCUUUUCCACCCCAUCGAGCCCAUAAGACGUCAAGGGCCAAAUAGCUUCAUUGCGGAAUCAUUGAUGCCUCUCUUGGGUCUCAGGUGGUGCUGCUUCCACCAAAGUUUUUUGCUUAACAGCCUUUGUGGUUCUCCAUGAGUCUUUUUGGAUCUGCACCACUAGAUAGAAGCCAGACUUCACACGUCUGCAAUAAGCACACGUUAACUGCUGGGCUGGUGCCGGCCUUCAGGGUCUUCAGCUCCACGCACUUUAACAGGGAGGCCUGGAAGCCUACUGCAGGUGUUGCCUGAAGGCCUUCAGCUGUUUUGGGGGCUGUGACCUGCUUAGGUCUUUCUCAGGUCUUAAGAAAGGAUCUAUUUAUCUCACCCUGGGGUUGACCUUUGAUGUGAGGCCUGAUCUUAUGUUGAGGAUCAUUUCGUCAUCUGGAGAGACUGGGAAUCAGAAACCCUCAUAUUUACAAACCCAGAAAAUUCUAGGUCUUUUAUAUUUAAGAGUUCAUUCUUCAACGUUGUUGCUUAAUUUUGUAUAC